rnacentral:sRNA from 1 species
UGGUAGAUGCACCCUAAUAACUCACUUCCCUAGUUGGCUUACACCACUGGGGAAUUUUUGU